rnacentral:rRNA from 1 species
GAUGAACGCUAGCGGCGGGCUUAAUACAUGCAAGUCGAGGGGCAGCACGAUGUAGCAAUACAUUGGUGGCGACCGGCGGACGGGUGCGUAACACGUAUGCAACUUGCCCUAUACUGGAAGAUAGCCCGAAGAAAUUCGGAUUAAUAUUCCAUAAUAUCAGGAUAAGCAUUUAUCUUGGUUCAAAGCUCCGGCGGUAUAGGAUGGGCAUGCGGUC